rnacentral:RNase_P_RNA from 1 species
GUAAGACAGGUGAUCGCGGCUGCCCUUCGGGGCAGGUGAGGAAAGUCCGGGCUUCACAGGGCAGGAUGCCGGAUAACAUCCGGUGGAGGCGACUCCAAGGCCAGUGCAACAGAAAUAUACCGCCGGUGGCAACACCGGUAAGGGUGGAAAGGCAGCUUAAGAGACUACCGUCCGGCUGGUAACAGCCGGAGCCAUGUAAACCCCAUCCGAAGCAAGACCAAACAGAGAGCAACAGGCUUGCCCGGCCUGCUUUCAGGUAGGUCGCUGGAUACAAUUGGCAACAAUUGCAGUAGAUAGAUGAUCACUCAACGACAUAACCCGGCUUAUCGUUUUGCUUA